rnacentral:rRNA from 1 species
GAUGAACGCUGGCGGCGUGCCUAACACAUGCAAGUCGAGCGGAAGGACGCGAAGCUUGCUGGUCUCUUGUUAGGGGCGGAGGUGUGAGUAACACGUGUAUACCCUCCCUGUAUGACUGGUAUAUCUUCGGGAAACCGGAUCUUACACCGGAUAAUAUCUUGAACCGCAGGGGUCAAAAGUGAAUUUCGGCCUUUCGGGCACGUAUAGAUGGUUCCGCGCUUCUUUGGCUAGUUGGUAAGUUAACGGCUUACCAAGGCAACGAUGCAUAGCCGACCUGAGAGGCUGAUCGCCCGCACUGGAACUGAGACACGGUCCAGACUCCUGCGGGAGGCCGCAGUAGGGAAUCUUACGCAAUGGGGGAAAACAUUACGCAGCAAGCCCGCGUGAGUGAUGAAGGUCUUCGGAUCGUAAAGCCCUCUUUUUAGGGAAAAACAGAUUUGGAAUUAAAUGUGGAGUGCUUGACGGUACCUGAUCAAGAAGCCCCGGCUAACUACGUG